AGUGAACGCUGGCGGUAGGCCUAACACAUGCAAGUCGAACGGCAGCACAGUAAGAGCUUGCUCUUACGGGUGGCGAGUGGCGGACGGGUGAGGAAUACAUCGGAAUCUACUUUUUCGUGGGGGAUAACGUAGGGAGACUUACGCUAAUACCGCAUACGACCUACGGGUGAAAGCAGGGGAUCUUCGGACCUUGCGCGAUUGAAUGAGCCGAUGUCGGAUUAGCUAGUUGGCGGGGUAAAGGCCCACCAAGGCGACGAUCCGUAGCUGGUCUGAGAGGAUGAUAAGCCACACUGGAACUGAGACACGGUCCAGACUCCUACGGGAGGCAGCAGUGGGGAAUAUUGGGCAAUGGGCGCAAGCCUGAUCCAGCCAUACCGCGUGGGUGAAGAAGGCCUUCGGGUUGUAAAGCCCUUUUGUUGGGAAAGAAAAGCAGCAGGUUAAUACCCCGCUGUUCUGACGGUACCCAAAGAAUAAGCACCGGCUAACUUCGUG
rnacentral:rRNA from 1 species